GUGAGGAAUAUUGCCCAAUGGGGGAAACCCUGAGGCAGCAACGCCGCGUGGAGGAAGAAGGUCUUUACGAUCGUAAACUUCUUUUGUGAGGGAAGAGGAAGGACGGUACCUCAUGAAUAAGUCACGGCUAACUACGUGCCAGCAGCCGCGGUAAUACGUAGGUGACGAGCGUUAUCCGGAAUUACUGGGCGUAAAGCGUACGCAGGCGGCAUGGUAAGUCUGACGUGAAAUCUCCUGGCUUAACUGGGAGAGGUCGUUGGAGACUGCUGUGCUUGAGACAAUGAGAGGGGUGCAGAAUUCCCGGUGUAGUGGUGGAAUGCGUAGAUAUCGGGAGGAAUACCAGAGGCGAAAGCGGCACCCUGGCAUUGGUCUGACGCUCAUGUACGAAAGCGUGGGUAGCAAACGGGAUUAGAAACCCCAGUAGUCC
rnacentral:rRNA from 1 species